GACGAACGCUGGCGGCGUGCCUAAUACAUGCAAGUCGAGCGGAUGAAGGAGAGCUUGCUCUCUGGAUUCAGCGGCGGACGGGUGAGUAACACGUGGGCAACCUGCCUGUAAGACUGGGAUAACUUCGGGAAACCGGAGCUAAUACCGGAUAAUUUCUUUUCUCACAUGAGAGAAGGUUGAAAGACGGCUUCGGCUGUCACUUACAGAUGGGCCCGCGGCGCAUUAGCUAGUUGGUGAGGUAACGGCUCACCAAGGCAACGAUGCGUAGCCGACCUGAGAGGGUGAUCGGCCACACUGGGACUGAGACACGGCCCAGACUCCUACGGGAGGCAG
rnacentral:rRNA from 1 species